UACGAAGGGGGCUAGCGUUGUUCGGAUUUACUGGGCGUAAAGCGCACGUAGGCGGAUCGUUAAGUCGGGGGUGAAAUCCUGGAGCUCAACUCCAGAACUGCCUUCGAUACUGGCGAUCUUGAGUCCGGAAGAGGUGAGUGGAACUCCUAGUGUAGAGGUGGAAUUCGUAGAUAUUAGGAAGAACACCAGUGGCGAAGGCGGGUCUCUGGGCCGAUACUGACGCUGAGGAGCGAAAGCGUGGGGAGCGAACAGG
rnacentral:rRNA from 1 species